rnacentral:rRNA from 1 species
UACGUAGGCAGCGAGCGUUGUUCGGAGUUACUGGGCGUAAAGGGUGUGUAGGCGGUUGUUUAAGUUUGGUGUGAAAUCUCCCGGCUCAACUGGGAGGGUGCGCCGAAUACUGAAUGACUCGAGUGUGGGAGAGGUGAGUGGAAUUCCUGGUGUAGCGGUGAAAUGCGUAGAUAUCAGGAGGAACACCGGUGGUGUAGACGGCUCACUGGACCAUAACUGACGCUGAGGUGCGAAAGCGUGGGGAGCAAACAGG